rnacentral:rRNA from 1 species
GGCUCAGGACGAACGCUGGCGGCGUGCCUAAUACAUGCAAGUCGAACGAACUCUGGUAUUGAUUGGUGCUUGCAUCAUGAUUUACAUUUGAGUGAGUGGCGAACUGGUGAGUAACACGUGGGAAACCUGCCCAGAAGCGGGGGAUAACACCUGGAAACAGAUGCUAAUACCGCAUAACAACUUGGACCGCAUGGUCCGAGCUUGAAAGAUGGCUUCGGCUAUCACUUUUGGAUGGUCCCGCGGCGUAUUAGCUAGAUGGUGGGGUAACGGCUCACCAUGGCAAUGAUACGUAGCCGACCUGAGAGGGUAAUCGGCCACAUUGGGACUGAGACACGGCCCAAACUCCUACGGGAGGCAGCAGUAGGGAAUCUUCCACAAUGGACGAAAGUCUGAUGGAGCAACGCCGCGUGAGUGAAGAAGGGUUUCGGCUCGUAAAACUCUGUUGUUAAAGAAGAACAUAUCUGAGAGUAACUGUUCAGGUAUUGACGGUAUUUAACCAGAAAGCCACGGCUAACUACGUGCCAGCAGCCGCGGUAAUACGUAGGUGGCAAGCGUUGUCCGGAUUUAUUGGGCGUAAAGCGAGCGCAGGCGGUUUUUUAAGUCUGAUGUGAAAGCCUUCGGCUCAACCGAAGAAGUGCAUCGGAAACUGGGAAACUUGAGUGCAGAAGAGGACAGUGGAACUCCAUGUGUAGCGGUGAAAUGCGUAGAUAUAUGGAAGAACACCAGUGGCGAAGGCGGCUGUCUGGUCUGUAACUGACGCUGAGGCUCGAAAGUAUGGGUAGCAAACAGGAUUAGAUACCCUGGUAGUCCAUACCGUAAACGAUGAAUGCUAAGUGUUGGAGGGUUUCCGCCCUUCAGUGCUGCAGCUAACGCAUUAAGCAUUCCGCCUGGGGAGUACGGCCGCAAGGCUGAAACUCAAAGGAAUUGACGGGGGCCCGCACAAGCGGUGGAGCAUGUGGUUUAAUUCGAAGCUACGCGAAGAACCUUACCAGGUCUUGACAUACUAUGCAAAUCUAAGAGAUUAGACGUUCCCUUCGGGGACAUGGAUACAGGUGGUGCAUGGUUGUCGUCAGCUCGUGUCGUGAGAUGUUGGGUUAAGUCCCGCAACGAGCGCAACCCUUAUUAUCAGUUGCCAGCAUUAAGUUGGGCACUCUGGUGAGACUGCCGGUGACAAACCGGAGGAAGGUGGGGAUGACGUCAAAUCAUCAUGCCCCUUAUGACCUGGGCUACACACGUGCUACAAUGGAUGGUACAACGAGUUGCGAACUCGCGAGAGUAAGCUAAUCUCUUAAAGCCAUUCUCAGUUCGGAUUGUAGGCUGCAACUCGCCUACAUGAAGUCGGAAUCGCUAGUAAUCGCGGAUCAGCAUGCCGCGGUGAAUACGUUCCCGGGCCUUGUACACACCGCCCGUCACACCAUGAGAGUUUGUAACACCCAAAGUCGGUGGGGUAACCUUUUAGGAACCAGCCGCCUAA